rnacentral:rRNA from 1 species
AGUGAACGCUGGCGGUAGGCCUAACACAUGCAAGUCGAACGGCAGCACAGUAAGAGCUUGCUCUUACGGGUGGCGAGUGGCGGACGGGUGAGGAAUACAUCGGAAUCUACUUUUUCGUGGGGGAUAACGUAGGGAAACUUACGCUAAUACCGCAUACGACCUACGGGUGAAAGCAGGGGAUCUUCGGACCUUGCGCGAUUGAAUGAGCCGAUGUCGGAUUAGCUAGUUGGCGGGGCAAAGGCCCACCAAGGCGACGAUCCGUAGCUGGUCUGAGAGGAUGAUCAGCCACACUGGAACUGAGACACGGUCCAGACUCCUACGGGAGGCAGCAGUGGAGAAUAUUGGACAAUGGGCGCAAGCCUGAUCCAGCCAUACCGCGUGGGUGAAGAAGGCCUUCGGGUUGUAAAGCCCUUUUGUUGGGAAAGAAAAGCAGCAGGUUAAUACCCCGCUGUUCUGACGGUACCCAAAGAAUAAGCACCGGCUAACUUCGUG